rnacentral:rRNA from 1 species
AAUAAAAAUUAGUGUCGCAUGACACAAAUUUAAAAGGCGCUUGGGCGUCACCUAGAGAUGGAUCCGCGGUUCAUUAGUUAGUCGGUGGGGUAAAGGCCUACCAAGACAAUGAUGCAUAGCCGAGUUGAGAGAUUGAUCGGCCACAUUGGGACUGAGACACGGCCCAAACUCUUACGGGAGGGUGCAGUAGGGAAUCUUCCACAAUGGGCGAAAGCCUGAUGGAGCAACGCCGCGUGUGUGAUGAAGGCUUUCGGGUCGUAAAGCACUGUUGUAUGGGAAGAACAGCUAGAAUAGGAAAUGAUUUUAGUUUGACGGUACCAUACCAGAAAGGGACGGCUAAAUACGUGCCAGCAGCCGCGGUAAUACGUAUGUCCCGAGCGUUAUCCGGAUUUAUUGGGCGUAAAGCGAGCGCAGACGGUUUAUUAAGUCUGAUGGAAAGCCCGGAGCUCAACUCCGGAAUGGCAUGGAAACUGG